UGUCUUCUUAACAAAAGCCGGAAAAGGACACUCUCUAAAUUUGGUUUAUCUUCCAUUACAAGCUUAUCUAAACGCCUGACUCAGAUUCCUAUUCACUAUAUAACUUCUGUGAUUUCUUACUUUCUUGAGAAUUACAAUAGUUUGGUUAUAGUUUCCGUUCCUAAAGGCUGGUUCGGGGAGGCUGAAUCAACAACUGGUAAAUAAAGGACUAUUUAUUAACUUAUAAUGUUCUUUUAAACUUCACUCAAAUACAACUGUGUAGUUUAUAGCUUCUGUGAUUUCUUACUUUCUUGAGAAUUACAAUAGUUUGGUUAUAGUUUCCGUUCCUAAAGGCUGGUUCGGGGAGGCUGAAUCAACAACUGCCUAGGAAUCAAUUUGUGGGAAACAUCGCUUAAUAAGAUGUCGCAAGUAAACACCUCAUAUCACCUGGAUGAAAAUUAGUCAGCAGUUUUAAAUAUUGUCAAUCAAUCGAAUCAGGUGCUCGUAAAGUGUCAAAAUGGGUUCACAUGAUGUAGCAAGAGUACAGAAUUGACUGAUGAACUUAGUAGGUAAUGCUGCCAGGAAGCAGGUGAUGUCGGAAAUUCCCCAGAGGGACACCAUGUAUUUCUCAGUUGCCAGUAAUAACAUUUUCGCACUCAAUCCCAAUAAGCGCGGCUUAAACUUCGGAACCCUUUCGUUGACUCAAUUACGAUGCCUUGUUUCAACAUGUAUGAACUAGGUUCUUGAACCUCAUUGUCAAUUAAAAAAAGCUCUUCAGUUAAAUUAACAAAAUUAGAAGAUCAAAAUAUGAGACAGACUCAUUCAAGAAUAAUUUCUCGACGACAUGCAUUCUGCAUGUUUCUAACACUUGUUUAAUUUUUAAAGGCCUAAUAAGGAAGGUGAAUUGUGUUUUGUGAGGCAUUAAGGGCUUAACAUUCACUUAGCAUGAUCAAUUUUACUUACCGGUAAUUAUGUUUCCACAACAAUUACAUGGAUGCAUAUAAUGAAUGCAAAGUCAAUGAUGUAAAUAAUUAAGGAGCUUUCUUACUAAAUGCAGAAAUAAUAAGAAGGAUCAAAGUUCAUGUUAUAAACGAGACUGAGAAUAGGCCAAUAAAUAA